rnacentral:rRNA from 1 species
GAUGAACGCUGGCGGCGUGCCUAAUACAUGCAAGUCGAGCGAACAGACGAGGAGCUUGCUCCUCUGACGUUAGCGGCGGACGGGUGAGUAACACGGGGAUAACCUACCUAUAAGACUGGGAUAACUUCGGGAAACCGGAGCUAAUCCCGGAUAAUAUAUUGAACCGCAUGGUUCAAUAGUGAAAGACGGGUUUGCUGUCACUUAUAGAUGUAUCCGCGCCGCAUUAGCUAGUUGGUAAGGUAACGGCUUACCAAGGCAACGAUGCGUAGCCGACCUGAGAGGGUGAUCGGCCACACUGGAACUGAGACACGGUCCAGACUCCUACGGGAGGCAGCAGUAGGGAAUCUUCCGCAAUGGGCGAAAGCCUGACGGAGCAACGCCGCGUGAGUGAUGAAGGUCUUCGGAUCGUAAAACUCUGUUAUUAGGGAAGAACAAAUGUGUAAGUAACUAUGCACGUCUUGACGGUACCUAAUCAGAAAGCCACGGCUAACUACGUG